rnacentral:rRNA from 1 species
AGCAGUCGCCGCGGGAAUACGAAGGGGGCUAGCGUUGUUCGGAAUCACUGGGCGUAAAGCGCACGUAGGCGGACUUUUAAGUCAGGGGUGAAAUCCCAAGGCUCAACCUUGGAACUGCCUUUGAUACUGGAAGUCUUGAGUUCGGGAGAGGUGAGUGGAACUGCGAGUGUAGAGGUGAAAUUCGUAGAUAUUCGGAAGAACACCAGUGGCGAAGGCGACUGACUGGACAAGUAUUGACGCUGAGGUGCGAAAGCGUGGGGAGCAAACAGGAUUAGAUACCCCCGUAGUCCCUGUCUCUUAUAC